AGUGAAGUGCCUGAAAAAGGGUAAUCUUGAUAGGAUUAAUAAUGUGAUAGUUUUAGUCUCACCUACACUA
rnacentral:tRNA from 1 species